AGAACAAAUGUCUAGACAACAAGACUAACCUACCAGGAAGAAAAGUUGUAGACGAUCUUUCGAGAAAGAAGUCUAACACAUAAGACAUCACAUAAAAGCCCAACUAGGCUAUUAAACUAGAAAAAUAGGACAAGCAGAAACAAUAAACAUUAAAAUUAUAUUUAACAGAUUAUAUACAUUGUCUAAUCGAUUAUUUCUACCAGAAAUGCAAUGUGCAAUAUGUUUAAACUUAUGAUUCAUUUACAUACAAUGAAUACAUGUACCAAACAUUUCAAGCACAAACACAGAAAUGUUCAAGCAAUUGUUAUGCCAUUUGUUGUGCAAGAAACCAUAAAACAUUUCUUUUGUUCAUCAUCAAAAAUAUAUAUGUGAAAUGGGUAUAGCUAGAUAUAGCUCCCUCUAUCAACAAUCUCCCAUUUUUUUAUGAUGUACAAACAAGAAAUAUGCUUUUUAGCUACUCUCUCCCUUUGGGUAUCAACAAAAAAUGGCAGAACAAGUAACAUGGAAUAAGUGCUAAAAGAAACAUAAAAAGUAAUCCUUACAGACCAUUCAAGAGUGUGAUGCUCCCCCU
rnacentral:lncRNA from 1 species